rnacentral:lncRNA from 1 species
GAAUUACACUGACUUCUCACCAGAGACUAUGAAAAUCAGAAGAUCCUGGACUGAUGUCAUACAGACCCUAAGAGAACACAAAUGCCAGUCCAGGUUACUGUAUCCAGCAAAGCUCUCAAUUAGCAUAGAUGGAGAAACCAAGAUAUUCCGUGACAAAACCAAAUUUACACAAUAUCUUUCUACAAAUCCUGCCCUACAAAGGAUAAUAAAUGGUAAAGCCCAACACAAGGAGGCAAACUACACCCUAGAAAAAG